GCCUAUGGCCAUACCACCCUGAACACGCCUGAUCUCGUCUGAUCUCGGAAGCUAAGCAGGGUCGGGCCUGGUUAGUACUUGGAUGGGAGACCGCCUUGGAAUACCAGGUGUUGUAGGCU
rnacentral:rRNA from 1 species